GCGCAGCAGGCGAGAAACCUCCGCAAUGCGCGAAAGCGCGACGGGGCCACCCCGAGUGCCGCCCGCUGAGGGCGGCUUUUCCCCGGUGUGGACAGCCGGGGGAAUAAGGGGAGGGCAAGUCUGGUGUCAGCCGCCGCGGUAAUACCAGCUCCCCGAGUGGUGGGGACGAUUAUUGGGCCUAAAGCGUCCGUAGCCGGCCCGGCAAGUCUCCCGUUAAAUCCAGCGAUCUAAUCGCUGGACUGCGGGAGAUACUGUCGGGCUAGGGGGCGGGAGAGGCCGGCGGUAUUCCCGGGGUAGGGGUGAAAUCCUAUAAUCCCGGGAGGACCACCAGUGGCGAAGGCUGCCGGCUGGAACGCGCCCGACGGUGAGGGACGAAAGCCGGGGGAGCGAACCGGAUUAGAUACCCCGGUAGU
rnacentral:rRNA from 1 species